rnacentral:lncRNA from 1 species
UCACAUUUUGAGUGGCUCCCAUGUGCACAAGCACGUAGUAAAUUUGUGUGCUCUCUUCCUGUUAAUCCACCUACUGUCCAUUUAUUCAACAGACUGAGCCAUUGAAUCUGCAGAGGGCAGAGGGCAAGUUCCUUUUUUCCUCAAUCAUGGUUUGAGAAAAGACUGUCCCGGCCAAGACACAGCUGGUUCAUGUAUCCCAGAAGGAAGAGCUGUGCUCCGGAGGCAAAAUGAAAAACUCCUGCGUGGAGAGUGGAGGAAUCUCUCUAGACCACUCAAGCCCGGUGAGGCUACAGUAGAGGGAACAGCGAGGGGCAACCUGCCUGCUGCAAGGCCCCCAGGAAGUUUUAAAGUCCCAGUUAUCCUGGCAGAGGAGAAAGCAUAUAUUCCCAACACAAUCACACAUCUCCAGCAGGAAGAAAAGGGCUGCUACAAGCACAUUCCUCAGCAGGACAGUGGGGCUCUGGGCUGGGGAUUUAGCUCAGUGACGCUGCACCUUCCUUGAAAGCGCAGGGUCCUGGGUUUGACCCCUGGUACCAAAAAAUAAAAUAAAAAUAAUAAUUAGUGGAG